rnacentral:rRNA from 1 species
GAUGAACGCUAGCGAUAGGCCUAACACAUGCAAGUCGAGGGGCAUCACAUGAAGUAGCAAUACGGAUGGUGGCGACCGGCGCACGGGUGAGUAACACGUAUGCAACCUGCCUUCAACAAGGGGAUAACCCGUUGAAAGACGGACUAAUACCCUAUAACACAGGGGUCCCGCAUGGGAAUAUUUGUUAAAGGACAACCGGUUGAAGAUGGGCAUGCGUUCCAUUAGCUAGUUGGCGGGUAACGGCCCACCAAGGCAACGAUGGAUAGGGGAACUGAGAGGUUUAUCCCCCACACUGGUACUGAGACACGGACCAGACUCCUACGGGAGGCAGCAGUGAGGAAUAUUGGUCAAUGGACGCAAGUCUGAACCAGCCACGUCGCGUGAAGGAAGACGGCCCUACGGGUUGUAAACUUCUUUUAUACGGGAAUAAAGUGCCCCACGCGUGGGGUUUUGCAUGUACCGUAUGAAUAAGGAUCGGCU